UAGUAAAAUAAAACCUAAGAAAGCUUAGUUGCUUAACAAGCGAUACAUACAUAUGUAAGUAUGUAUGUACUUAUAUUCCAUUAAUUAAUGUCGCUCGUCACUGUUGCAUAGUAGCAUUCAAGUUAACAGAUGGAUAAGUCAGUGAAAGAUUAUUCAAUAAAACUUCAGCGGUUGUGUGGAAAUUGUAAGAGUAAAGUAUGGAACUAUUUUGGAGUUUUGAUGGUAGAUAAUAAAAACAUUGUUGACGAGGAAAAGGUUUUUUGUAAUCUAUGUUUGGAAAAACAGAAACAUCAUUACUUUUUGCAUGUGCUCAGAUUCAAUCAUUUAGUAACAACUGCUCAACAGGAAACUUAGCGCGUC